UUAAGGUUCAGGUAACCCAGUAGUGAUGCCUGGCGCAUAGCCAUCAAACGUUAAGGUUCAGGUAACCCAGUAGUGAUGCCUGGCACAUAGCCAUCAAACGUUAAGGUUCAGGUAACCCAGUAGUGAUGCCUGGCACAUAGCCAUCAAACGUUAAGGUUCAGGUAACCCAGUAGUGAUGCCUGGCACAUAGCCAUCAAACGUUAAGGUUCAGGUAACCCAGUAGUGAUGCCUGGCACAUAGCCAUCAAACGUUAAGGUUCAGGUAACCCAGUAGUGAUGCCUGGCACAUAGCCAUCAAACGUUAAGGUUCAGGUAACCCAGUAGUGAUGCCUGGCACAUAGCCAUCAAACGUUAAGGUUCAGGUAACCCAGUAGUGAUGCCUGGCACAUAGCCAUCAAACGUUAAGGUUCAGGUAACCCAGUAGUGAUGCCUGGCACAUAGCCAUCAAACGUUAAGGUUCAGGUAACCCAGUAGU